rnacentral:rRNA from 1 species
AUGGUGAUCGCUAGGGUUCACACAACUAGGCCCUUUAGUCGCGGUGCGUUCUAUGACUCCAUGCGGAUGGCUUGGAGCCUAGCACAAGGAGCGACCUUUAGCGCCCUUGGAAGCAACUUGUUCGUGAUCACUAUCAAUUGCUUGGGUGACUGGAGAAAGGUCACCCAAGGUGGUCCAUGGUUAUUCUGGGAUCAAGGUGUGCUGAUUGAGAGGUAUGAUGGAUUCACAAAACAGGAUGAUGUGGUUCUGGACAAACUGUCAGUGUGGAUUCAGAUUGUUGAUCUCCCCCGCUUGUACCGGAAGGAUCACAUCAUUAAGUCCCUGGCCAAGAAAGUAGGGAAGGUGGAGAACGUGAUGCUUAACCCUAGGUGGGGAAAUGGCAGGAUUGUGCGUGUUCGAGUGAAAUUAGAUGUUAAUGAGCCUUUGAUGCAUUUCGUAUCCAUAACUAAAAAUCAGAAGAAGGUCUAUUUCUCAAUACUUUAUGAGAAAAUUCCUGUUUUUUGCUAUGUAUGUGGGUACAUGGGUCAUACAUAUCUGGAACAUGGCAACGGCAAACACACGCCUAAGAGUAUGGAUUGGGGCGAGUGGAUGCUAGCCCCUAGACCUGGUGCUCAACAACAAGGACAGGGAGGUAUUCCAGUUCAGAGGGGAGACCCAGGUGGGAGUGUACAACGUGGCAAAAGCACUAAUGAUAAUCUGCAGGAUGACGCCAAUAGCCCCGUGGAAAAUCUGAGAGAUGAGAUUCUGGACAAGGCAAAUAGCAGAAAGAGGCUUAAUUAUGAUGCAGCUGUGUUUGACCCGAAAUCCAUGCAACUGGUGAUUACGGAGACCGGAGUGCUUGUGGCAGAUAACAACGCAAUGGCUUUGGAAAAAAAAGAAUGA